AUGAUGAGGUAGAUAUGUCUAGGGGUAAGGUGACAGGGAUACUGGAUGAUGAGGUAGAUAUGUAUAGAGGUAAGGAGACAGGGAUACUGGAUGAUGAGGUAGAUAUGUCUAGGGGUAAGGUAACUAGGCAACAGGAUAUAAGACAAACAGAGUAGCAGCUUCUUGUAUGUGAGUGUGUGUGCUGUGUGUAGUCAGUAUAAAUGUAUAUAUUUUGGACACAGCUACUCAUUGCAGGGUUUUUCUUUAUUAUUUACUCUUUUCUACAUUGUAGAAUAAUAGGGAAGACAUUACAACUAUGAAAUAACACAUAUGGAGUCAUGUAGUAACCACAAACGUUGUAGUAGUUCUUCAAAGUGCAAAUACUGAAAUGAAGGUCAAUAAAGACACACGGUAAACUAGGUCUUGGUAGCUACUUAUUAAAACGUAUUGAUCAGUGGUAUUGCUUGGGGAUAGAAGCUGUUCAAGAGCCUGUUGGUGUCAGACUUGAUGCACCGAAAUCU
ensembl:lncRNA